rnacentral:rRNA from 1 species
GGGUCCCAGUCCUCGCCCCGCUCCCCCCAAAAUCCCAAUCCAGGCUCCUCGGAGAUGUACACGGCAAUCCGCGGAGACGAUGAGGCAGGCCGAGUGAGAUAGAAGCAGCACAGCUUCCGCUUCCGGUCCUCGCCAUCGAUUCGCUCAUGGCCUCCACCUCCUACUGCGCCACUCCAUCUCCGUCCCUACGAUGCUCUGCCGCCUUCUUCCCCACCUUCGCCUCUCCGCCUCCCGCCCUCCGCUUCGCCGUCCCUCCGCUCCUCCCCCGCCGUCUCGCCAUAUCCCCACCGAGAGUUCGAAUUCCGGCGGUGGCGUCAGCGCUGGAGUCCCUAGUGCAGGAGUCCGAUGACGAGGACGAGGAGGACGACGGGUCUGGGCUGUUCAAGGACGAGGCGUGGGCGUCGGCGGACGAGAGGGACGCGGUGCGGUCCCCGGAGCUGGUGGUGCCCGAGCUGGAGGAGCUGCCCGAGCAGUGGCGCCGCUCCAGGAUUGCCUGGCUCUGCAAGGAGCUCCCCGCCUACAAGCACUCCACCUUCACCCGCAUCCUCAACGCCCAGCGCAAGUGGCUCACCCAGGAGGACGCCACCUACGUCGCCGUACACUGCCUCCGCAUCCGCGACAACGACGCCGCCUUCCGGGUGUUUAGCUGGAUGGAGCGGCAGCACUGGUACCGCUUCAACUUUGCGCUUGCCACAAGGGUGGCGGAUUUUCUCGGCAGGGAAGGCAAGGUUGAGAAAUGCCGGGAGAUGUUUGAGGCAAUGGUCAAGCAGGGCCGUGUGCCUGCCGAGUCCACCUUCCACAUACUGACCGUUGCGUACCUCAGUACGCCCAGGGGACGGUGCCUCGAGCACGCUUGCACUAUCUACAACCAGAUGAUACAGAUGGGCGGCUACAAGCCUCGCCUCAGCCUUCACAACUCAUUGUUCCGCGCACUUGUGAGUAAGACAGGAGGAACUGCAAAGCACAACCUCAGGCAGGCUGAGUUUGUCUACCACAAUCUUGUCACCACCAAUCUUGAGGUGCACAAGGAGGUCUAUGCUGGGCUCAUCUGGCUUCACAGCUACCAAGAUGUCAUUGAUAGAGACAGGAUCAUAGCUCUUAGGAAGGAAAUGAAGCAGGCUGGUUUUGAUGAGAGUAUUGAUGUGCUGGUGUCAGUCAUGCGGGCCUUCUCCAAAGAAGGGAGGGUUCAAGAAACAGAGGCAACAUGGCAUGAAAUUCUCCAGAGGGGUUCAGAACUUCCUGCUCAGGCCUAUGUCUGCCGAAUGGAGGUUUAUGCUCGAACUGGUGAGCCUAUGAAAUCCCUGGAUAUAUUCAGAGAAAUGAAGAGGCAAAGUAUACCCCCAAACGUUGCAACUUAUCAUAAGAUAAUUGAGAUAAUGGCAAAUGCUGAGGAGAUAGAUGUUGCGGAACAACUUAUGGAUGAAUUUUCUGAGAGUCAUAUGAAGCAUCUGAUGCCAGCAUUUCUUGCCCUGAUGUACAUGCAUUUGGAUCUUGAUAUGCAUGAGAAAUUAGAAUUAACAUUCUCGAAAUGCCUUGCUAGGUGCCGUCCAAAUAGAAUCUUGUACAUCAUCUAUCUAGAAUCACUGAUAAGGGCUGGAAAUGUCGAGAAAGCUGAGGAGGUCUUCGAUGAAAUGCACAAAAAAGGGACGAUAGGUACUAAUGCAAAAUCUUGCAACAUCAUGCUAAGAGGUUAUAUUUCUGCAGAAGACUAUCAGAAAGCUGAAAAGGUUUAUGAUAUGAUGUGUAAAAAGAAGUAUGAUGUACAAGAGGAUUUGUUGGAAGAACUUCAGACUGGCCUCCGUCUUGGUAAGAAAGUCGCUGUUAAGCCAAAACCCGUGAGCAUCAAAUUGGAUCAAGAGCAGCGUGAGAUUUUGAUUGGUUUGCUUCUGGGAGGCACACAGAUUGAAUCUCAUGCACAGAGAGGGGUCCAUAUUGUCCAUUUUAAGUUCCAGGAAGAUUCUGAUGCCCAUUCGGUCUUAAGGGUGCACAUUCAUGAGCGUUUCUUUGAAUGGCUGACUUCAGCAAGCAGAUCAUUUGAGGAUGAGAGCAAGAUACCUUAUGAGUUCUCAACCAUACCUCAUUUACAUUUCGGUUUCUUUGCUGACCAGUUCUUUCUAAAAGGCCAGCCUGUUCUCCCAAAGCUUAUCCACAGGUGGUUAUCUCCACGUGUUCUAGCGUAUUGGUUCAUGUUUGGAGGCCUCAAACUCUCGUCAGGUGAUAUCGUUCUCAAGGUCAGUGGUGGGAACAGUGAGGGUGUUGAAAGAAUUGUAAACUCCUUGCAUGCACAGUCCUUACCUAGUAAAGUGAAGAGGAAAGGGCAAUUCUUCUGGAUAGGUUUUCAGGGGAGCAAUGCCGAUUCUUUCUGGAAAGUUAUAGAACCUUAUGUAUUGGACGGUUUCUUGGGUUUGACAACACAGGAAAGCGGCACCGCAGGUUCUGGUGAUGACCAAGAAACUGAUACUGAUUCUGAUGAUGAUGCUCAUAAGUAUGGAAGUGAAGAGUGAAUACCAGGGAGCAGGAGAUGUCUGGUGACAGGAGGUACUUCAUCAACGUCAAGUUCUUGCUGCGAACAGAUGUGCUAUAUUUUAGUGGUUUGGUGGUAGAGCUUGAAAAGUCUCCAAGUGGCGGUUUUCGCUUGUAAAGUGGAAAAGUGAACCGGGGCUCUGCCCUUAUAGCCUGCAACGUAGACUGAAGACAAUAUUCAGGAAGUAGUUCAUUAUAAUCUGAACAUCGGAAGGAACACAACUUCACAAGCCUACAGAUUGAUCAGGGUUUUGUUACGUAUACUUUUACUUUGUUGUUCACCUUCUUAGUACAGUAAGUACUAACAACAUGUUGCCCGUAUUGAUCUACCCCCUCCAUAAAAAGUAGUGAUCUAAACACUCUUAUAUUUCUUUACAGAGGGAGUACCUAUGUAGCCAUCUGCAUGAUAGAUUUGCACACUAGACUAGACAGAAAAUUUGUGGAUUUCUGUCGACCACUUACAGUACGUUAUAUGUUGUGCAUUUAAUCACCUGUUCUCAUUUGCCAAAUCUUUUUUUUAUUUCUUUGUGAAAUUUUCAUGGAUUGUCGCUAAUGGCAGUACAUAAUAAGCUGUAAAAACAUAUAUUUGUCCCAUGAUGUCUGGCAGCAAAAAAAAAACAUUUACCCUUCC